GCCACUUUUUGGUGGUCGGGCGCAUUCGGAUGGAGCUGUGUCUUCUUGGAAAAUGGCGGCCACUGCCUCUCUGUCCUCGAUCUCCUUUGCCUCCCUCCACUUCUUCCCCAGCCCCCAAACCCCGAAGAGGCGAAGAAAACCCCCACCUGUCUCCAUCUCCACGAACCCCUCCCUCGUCGAUCCUCUCCAGCUCCAAGAUCUCUUCCGCUCUGCCAAUUUCUCAUGCCACCGCUUCCCGGCCCUCGCCGCCGACGGCCGCGCGGAGCCCGUCGAUCCAGGCAAGCUCCAGAUCGCCCUCGCCCACAGCUUCGCCGUCGUCUCCGUCUUCUGCCGGCCCAAAUACUUGGUCGAGGAUGAUCAAAAUGAGAUCUUGGGAGCUGGGAUCGCAAAUUUUUUCGAGAGGGCGUUGCCGGUGCCGGAAUCGGAUGGCCGAUUGGUGGGGUUUGGCCGGGCGGUGUCGGAUGGGGGACUGACGGCUUCGAUCCAUGACGUUGUGGUUAUUCCUUCAUUACAGAGACGGGGUAUUGGUCGAAAAAUAGUUGAAAGAAUGAUAAGAAUGCUAAUUCAUCCAAUAGGUUGAGAACUGCAAAAACUAUAAUCAAAACUUUUCCAGCUGUUAACUCCCGCAUCUGCAAACAGAGCUUACCCCUCUCUUCCACACUUUCAAAAAGGAUUCUCACCAGCAAAGGCAUAUACGAUAUGUCUGCCUUGUGCACAGAAAAGGAGAGACAUAUAAAGUCUAGCUACAUAUAGCAUAUGGAAAAAUUUUUCAGGUUAUUUUUUAAAGCAUGCGGAUUUGGAGAGGAUUCUCUAGGGUCUACUACAAUGAUGUAUACGCGAUCUGCCUCGAGUUACCUGCAAGGCAAUCUCAUGGUCAGACCUGCUGGUAGGAUGCUGCUUUUGGUUCCACCCUCUCGAGAACUGAUGAAUGAAGCUCACGCAGAAGUUUCAUGAGCCAUCAGCAAAGACAGGAGCAUGCAAGGCCCUACAUGUUUUUGAGUCAAAUUAUGACACCUUGUCAUUAAUUUUAAGAAAGCAGAGGACAGGUGAGGAGGACUCUCAAUGGCAGAACAUGAUCUCACUUUUGGUGACAGUUAUACAAACAAGAAAUUAAGACCAUGAUGAGGAUGGAUCAAACUUUCACUCUAUUGGAACUUUGUGAAAAACAAAUCCAACAUAUUCUAUUCUAUCAUCUGACUUCAUUUUUUUUUGUUUCCUUAAAAAUUCUGAAUCUAAUCCUCCUUGUCCAAGGACGUAAUUUCUGUGCGCUUUCAAUUCUUCUGUUUCCAACACUCAUAUAUUAGCAUAUGAUUCUUUGUAUGAAAAGGGUAAUUGGCUCCUCUAAAAGAGCUUAUCUAGUAGGUAGGAACCUACUUGUUAUCAAGAAAAGCACUGUUCUUUGUCA